UACGUAGGGGGCUAGCGUUGUCCGGAAUCAUUGGGCGUAAAGAGCGUGUAGGCGGCCCGGUAAGUCCGCUGUGAAAGUCGGGGGCUCAACCCUCGAAUGCCGGUGGAUACUGUCGGGCUAGAGUGCGGAAGAGGCGAGUGGAAUUCCUGGUGUAGCGGUGAAAUGCGCAGAUAUCAGGAGGAACACCAAUGGCGAAGGCAGCACUCUGGGACGUGACUGGACGCUGAGACGCGAAAGCGUGGGGAGCGAACAGG
rnacentral:rRNA from 1 species